UACGGAGGAGGCAAGCGUUAUCCGGAAUUAUUGGGCGUAAAGCGUCCGCAGGUGGCACCUCAAGUCUGCUGUCAAAGCCCGGGGCUUAACCCCAGAAUGGCAGUGGAAACUGAAGUGCUAGAGUGCAGUAGGGGUAGAGGGAAUUCCCGGUGUAGCGGUGAAAUGCGUAGAGAUCGGGAAGAACAUCGGUGGCGAAAGCGCUCUGCUGGACUGCAACUGACACUCAGGGACGAAAGCUAGGGGAGCGAAUGGG
rnacentral:rRNA from 1 species